AAUGAACGCUGGCGGCAUGCCUAACACAUGCAAGUCGAACGCCCUGGGCAACCAGGGAGUGGCGGACGGGUGAGUAACGCGUGGGGACCUGCCUCGAAGUUCGGAAUAACCGCGGGAAACUGCGGCUAAUACCGGAUGUGGCCUGAGGGCCAAAGGGGAAACUCGCUUCGAGAGGGGCCCGCGUCCGAUUAGCUAGUUGGCGGGGUAACGGCCCACCAAGGCGACGAUCGGUAGCUGGGCUGAGAGGAUGAUCAGCCACACUGGACUGAGACACGGCCCAGACUCCUACGGGAGGCAGCAGUGGGGAAUAUUGCGCAAUGGGCGGAAGCCUGACGCAGCGACGCCGCGUGGGGGAUGACGGCCUUCGGGUUGUAAACCUCUUUCAGCAGGGACGAAGCGAAAGUGACGGUACCUGCAGAAGAAGCACCGGCCAACUACGUGCCAGCAGCCGCAGUAAGAC
rnacentral:rRNA from 1 species